rnacentral:piRNA from 1 species
ACCCUUAUACACUAGGGACAUGGUCAUUGC